GCCCGGCUGGCGUAAUGGUUAACGCGUAAGACUUCUACAGAUGGGAGUGAUCUUAAGAUUGCGAGUUCGAGUCUCGCGUCGGGUU
rnacentral:tRNA from 1 species